rnacentral:rRNA from 2 species
UGGGGAAUAUUGGUCAAUGGGGGGAACCCUGAACCAGCAACGCCGCGUGAAGGAAGAAGGCUUUCGGGUUGUAAACUUCUUUGACAGGGGACGAAAGAAAUGACGGUACCCUGAAAACAAGCCACGGCUAACUACGUGCCAGCAGCCGCGGUAAUACGAAGGUGGCGAGCGUUGUCCGGAUUUACUGGGUGUAAAGGGCGUGUAGGCGGGACUGCAAGUCAGAUGUGAAAUCUGUGGGCUUAACUCACAAACUGCAUUUGAAACUGUGGUUCUUGAGUGAUGGAGAGGCAGGCGGAAUUCCGUGUGUAGCGGUGAAAUGCGUAGAUAUACGGAGGAACACCAGUGGCGAAGGCGGCCUGCUGGACAUUAACUGACGCUGAGGCGCGAAAGCGUGGGGAGCAAACAGG